rnacentral:rRNA from 1 species
AUACGUAGGGUGCAAGCGUUAAUCGGAAUUACUGGGCGUAAAGCGUGCGCAGGCGGUUUUGUAAGACAGUGGUGAAAUCCCCGGGCUCAACCUGGGAACUGCCAUUGUGACUGCAAGGCUGGAGUGCGGCAGAGGGGGAUGGAAUUCCGCGUGUAGCAGUGAAAUGCGUAGAUAUGCGGAGGAACACCGAUGGCGCAGGCAAUCCCCGGGGCCUGCACUGACGCUCAUGCACGAAAGCGUGGGGAGCAAACAGGAUUAGAUACCCUGGUAGUCCACGCCCUAAACGAUGUCAACUGGUUGUUGGGGAUUUAUUUUCUCAGUAACGAAGCUAACGCGUGAAGUUGACCGCCUGGGGAGUACGGCCGCAAGGUUAAAACUCAAAUGAAUUGACGGGG